AGGAUCCGGGUUUGGAAGCUCCAUGAGAUGAAUCAUACCAGGACCAACCCACAACCAUGCUCCACGAUACGAGCACAUACUGGGAAAUAAUUGAACACUCACCUAAGACACCGCAGUAGAAUUCCAGCGACUUUUCCAGAUUGCUGCAAAGGAACCCAACAUGAUGCAAGUCUAUGUACUCAAUUGCUACACAGAGACAAGGAGAUGGCAAGAGUCAGAACAAGCUAGCUAUUAAUCAACCGCUUUUCGAGGACGAAUCCUUAGUCUUUUGUGAUACGACACUCUGAAUUGCUGGUGAUUGGAGCUGCUGGAUUUAAAGCAAUGGGUGAACACACAGACGAUAGAGGAUACGAUGGG